GAUGAACGCUGGCGGUGCGCCUAAUACAUGCAAGUCGAACGAUCCUUCGGGAUAGUGGCGAACGGGUGCGUAACACAUGGGAAACCUACCCUAAAGUGGGGAAUAACUGGUCGAAAGGUCAGCUAAUACCGCAUAUGCUCACGAGUUGAAAUACUAGUGAGGAAAGAUUUAUCGCUUUAGGAGGGGCCUGUGGCUGAUUAGCUUGUUGGUGAGGUAAGAGCUCACCAAGGCGAUGAUCAGUAGCUGGACUGAGAGGUUGGCCAGCCACACUGGGACUGCGACACGGCCCAGACUCCUACGGGAGGCAGCAGUAAGGAAUCUUCCGCAAUGGACGAAAGUCUGACGGAGCGACACCGCGUGGGGGAUGAAGGCCUUCGGGUUGUAAACUCCUUUUCUGUAUGACGAAAUUUUGACGGUAAUACAGGAAUAAGUAUCGGCUAACUACG
rnacentral:rRNA from 1 species